rnacentral:sRNA from 1 species
UCUUUGCUCUUCUGUCACUGAUUUUGGUGCAUCUUGCAAGAGGGGAAGUUUCUGAUCCUCAUCAUGCAGGUGUCGGGAUGCCUCAGCUUUUAUCUUGAUCUCCAUCGACCAGAAACGUUUGAUAAGCUUCUUUUCCCUUAAUGUUUUUCGUCUCUCCUCUCAGUUAUAGCAUUUUGCUUUGUGAGGAACAAUGUUAUAUAAAUAGGAAUAGAAAUGAAACUUGAGUGGAGGUAAAGGGAGGGAAAGAGUAGUUAGCCAUGCCUUGCAAGGAAGAGAAACCUAAAACUGGAACUGAAUUUUAGAUAAAGCAGCUAGCAGAAAUCGGAAGGGAGAGUUUUGGUUUCUUGCUUUUGUUUUUCGCUAACUGUCCAUGAAUCUCUGAUGACUCGUUAUAGACCAUGCUCUUUAGAGUAGUCAUAAGGGGGAGAAAAUUCUCUUUUAACCAAGAUCACAUGCAUUCAGAUACGAAGGCUUACAACAACGAAAGCAUGUCCAAUAGAAAGUGAAUCACCCCGUCCAAUAAACGCUGACCACAUGGUGAUUUGGUAACGAGAGUAUCUCCACAAAGGGGGGAUCAAGUACAAAGAAAUUUGGGAGCCUUUUUUGGUUGCUGAAACGCAAUGCGCAUUGGUUUGAGGCAAGCUUCACAAGAGAAGCAAAUGAUCAUUUGGAGAGAAAGAGAUACCAGGUGCGUGUUCUGAAUGAUGUUUCUGGGUGUGCGACGAUGAAUUCUCAACUUUUACUUAACAAAUGAUGGCUCGCCAUAGCCAAUGGCACAAACAAGCAUGCAGAGAUAUAUGAUCAUGGCAAGGAAAGAUUUUACGUACCUUUCCCUUCCUUUUUACUAAUUCAUAGCUUCAAACUUUUGUUGGGUUGUUUGUUUCACCUUCUUGCAGUUUUCAGUACC